UACGUAGGGGGCAAGCGUUGUCCGGAAUCAUUGGGCGUAAAGAGCGUGUAGGCGGCCCGAUAAGUCCGCUGUGAAAGUCCAGGGCUCAACCCUGGGAUGCCGGUGGAUACUGUCGGGCUCGAGUCCGGAAGAGGAGUGUGGAAUUCCUGGUGUAGCGGUGAAAUGCGCAGAUAUCAGGAGGAACACCAACAGCGAAGGCAGAUCUCUGGGACGUUACUGACGCUGAGACGCGAAAGCGUGGGGAGCAAACAGG
rnacentral:rRNA from 1 species